AAAUGCAACGUUGUUCAGGCGUUAGCAGACAUAUCUCUGUAGCGGCUCUAGGGCACGGCAGUGGAACCGAUAGGAGCAAGUAAAGUUAAAUCUGAUAUACUUUUGAUGUAUUUCUGAGAACUUUUUGAUAUCAAGCUGUUUUGGAAUAUUUUUUUUAUUUCCGAGAGUUUAUUUGGUCUCCGAAAGAAGCUACAAAACCUAUCAACUAACUCUUAACAGGUACUGCAGUUUUUCUCGUGGCCUUUUUUUCGAUUAGGAAAUGUGUUUAGAGAUCAUGGAUACUGAAACCACACAAUUCCCUAAACCUGAGUGUCUGCGACAUGGAUUUACAGCUACGUGGACGCAGUUUUGUGAUCCCAGAGCGGCGAAAUGGGCCUACGAGCAGAACCGAAACAACGCAGCCGCCCGGAAACACCCCAGUCAAGACCAGAGGUUAGCUCAUCGGGCUAAACUCGGCCCGUUUGUUAUGGACUCUGGGAAGAAGAAGAGGAAAAAGGGAAAAAGAGGGUCCAGGAAUGAUGAGCGUGUUGCUGCGGCCUGUAUGAAUCCACCACCAGCCGGGGGGAUGGCGCCUAGAAACACCACGCAGUAUCUAAUGAGUAAUGUGUACGAAGACAUGAAGAUGGACACCGUGAUAAAAUCAGCUCCUGGUCAAUUAACCGGUCACAUCUACUGUGAGAAUCUCUCUCCCAGUAGCGUGUCCGCGGCUCUGGACUCCUGCUUCGAGGACAUUCUGGAAUACCAACUCCGAGACUUUGAGGAGCUCUACGACUUGGCCUGGAAACCGGAAUGAACUGGUUCACAUUCCGCUGUGGAACUGCUCCGACCAGCUGUGCAGACUCAAUGACUGAUCACUAGCAAAUGUGAAAGAAGCGGCGCUUUUGGACGCUGCCCGUCCGGUAGGGGGCGCUGCUGAGCUCUUCGUGGCGGCGUCCAGAGGAAACGACUAAACCGCGUACAUCCUCAGUUCUCAUCCGGUCCGCGGAUUGAAAAAUCCAGGUAAACCGGGGAAGUGUGUACUAUUUGUUGCACUGCAUUGUGAUGCAGUGCUCCCCACAGUCACUGUUGUCUGAGCGUUUUCCAGGUCUCCAUUGGCAGAACACGUGACUCGGCUGGGCGAGAAGCACACGGAAGUCCGUUUUCACGUGACUGACAGACACAUGGUGACGUUUACUGCCACUUCAUCCUGACCUGUUGCGGAGAAUAAAAUUUAUAUGUGGUAAUUCUGUUAAAGAGAAUAUUUAAUAAAUGCUUUAUAAUUUGUA